CUUGAAACUGUGUUGACAAUAAUUUUAGCCCUUGUCAUUGGCAAGUUGCCUGUUGCCAGUAUGUUGCUUGGGACAUUGGUUUAAGAACUAAGAAGUUAAUAUUGUUUUUAAAGAUCAUGUUUAUAAAAUUUCCAGUUCCAGUUCUCGUCUACGCGAUUUCUCCGUCCUUAAUGUUUACCAUAAUGUCAGAAAAUGGGAACAUACUAUUAUUUGAUUAUAUGAAGUAGGGGGCAGCUAAUAUCCAGCCAUUAUAGGUAAGGUAGACAACAGACACACAGGACAAUGAGCUGGGAGCAUCGAUACCGAGACAGUGGUCAUACUGCCCUCUUCAGCCCGUGACCUAAUUGAUCUCAAGCCAUUACUUAGUUAAUUUGUGUUACUGACUUUAUCUAAGUUUUGACUUGGACUAUUUUCGAAACUGAGUUAUCAUGUUAGGUAUGUUGAACUAACAGUUUUUCAAAAGCUAUCUAUGAUGUACUUUUACACUAAUCCCGCUCAGUUCCUCAGUAAAGUGUCUUGACCGAGAUACAUUUAUCAUGCCGAAAAAAGUGGUGCGACACCUUCUCAUAAGUAAAAUCAAAAUACAUUUAUUUAAAAUAUUAAGUGGAAUAUAAAUUAUUACAAGUUUCGUAGCUUCGAUGCGAUAGCUGGAAGAUAUUGGUUUUGUCGAGAUGUUUUUUUUUUUUUAUUUUUUAUCUGAAGUCACGAUAACUUUUUUCUAUGGAUCAAUUUACUCGAAAAGAACACCGUAGAUCCAAAAUCAUAUGCGGUUGGAACUUUUACUACAAACUUUAAGCUGAUUCGCAUUAGAAAUCUAUGGAUACUGGACCCAACUUUGAUAAUUUCUUACUGUCCUAGUUUGGACUGUGAUUGGUUUAGACUGUAAAGGUUUGGACUAAAAAAGUGUUUUAUGUUAGAAGCUGAGAAGUGGUUAAAUUUAAUAAUAUAUAAUAGAGACUAUAAAAGCCAUUUACACUUUUUCUCAGUCACGAUACAAAUUAUGCUAUUU